rnacentral:lncRNA from 1 species
CCCGGGGUGGCAACCUUCGGGUUAGCCAUGAGAUUGGAUACUAUCGAGGCAUAGUUGCACGACGCACUAUGUAGUAGCUCGUUCAUUCGGAUUAUUGAGGCAUAGUAGCAUGUGCAGAUACAUCACUAUGUAGUAGCUCAUUUCCAAGCAGAUUGGGUAAAGAAUAUGAAUGGCAUAGCAGAUUUGCAUUCAUACCUUGAGUUGACAUUGAGACAUAGUAGCAUGUUGUAGAUACAUCACUAUGUAGUAGCUCAUUUCUAUUAUUGUUGAAGCAUAGUAUCAUGAUUAGUAGAAUAUCAUUGCUAUGUUCAUGCAUUCCAUGAUUACAGAGGCAUAGUAGCAUGUGUAUAUUCCAUUACUAUGUAGCAGCUCGUACUUAGUAGAGCGAGAUUGAGUCGGGCGAGGAGCGGGGUAGCUCUUUGCCUAGGACCUUCGAGAUUGAGUCGGGCAAGGAGCGGGGUAGCUCUUUGUCUAGGACCUUUGAGAUUUGAGAUCUUAGGCAAGUUGGCCUAGUCGAUUGGGUUGUAACAUGAAUAGCAUAAGUGGAUUGCAUUCAUGCCAUGAUUGGACAUAGUAGA